UUGAAACUCAAAGGAAUUGACGGGGGCCCGCACAAGCGGUGGAGUAUGUGGUUUAAUUCGAUGCAACGUGAAGAACCUUACCUGGUCUUGACAUGUCUGG
rnacentral:rRNA from 1 species